rnacentral:rRNA from 1 species
GUCCACGCCGUAAACGAUGUCGACUAGCCGUUGGGCUCCUUGAGAGCUUAGUGGCGCAGCUAACGCAUUAAGUCGACCGCCUGGGGAGUACGGCCGCAAGGUUAAAACUCAAAUGAAUUGACGGGGGCCCGCACAAGCGGUGGAGCAUGUGGUUUAAUUCGAAGCAACGCGAAGAACCUUACCUGGCCUUGACAUGCUGAGAACUUUCCAGAGAUGGAUUGGUGCCUUCGGGAACUCAGACACAGGUGCUGCAUGGCUGUCGU